CGCGGGCAUAGGAUGGUGGGUAUACUGUAUAAUCCCUGCGGGGGAAAGAUUUAUCGCUACUAGAUAGAGCCUAUGUCAGAUUAGCUAGUUGGUGGGGUAAUGGCCCACCAAGGCUGUGAUCUGUAGCUGGUCUGAGAGGAUGAUCAGCCACACUGGAACUGAGACACGGUCCAGACUCCUACGGGAGGCAGCAGUGGGGAAUAUUGGACAAUGGGCGCAAGCCUGAUCCAGCUAUGCCGCGUGAGUGAGGAAGGCCUUAGGGUUGUAAAACUCUUUCAGUAGGGAAGAUAAUGACGGUACCUACAGAAGAAGUCCCGGCAAACUCCGUGCCAGCAGCCGCGGUAAUACGGAGGGGGCAAGCGUUGUUCGGAAUUAUUGGGCGUAAAGGGCAUGUA
rnacentral:rRNA from 1 species